rnacentral:lncRNA from 10 species
UUCGCUCGCUGUCCACCACUGCUGUUUUGCCACCAUGGCAGACCCACCACUGACCUCCAUCCCUCCGCAUCCAGCAGGGUGUCCGCUGUGCUCCUGAUCCAGUGAGGCGCCCGUUGCCACUCCCGAUUGGGCUAAGGGCUUGCCAAUGUUCCUGCAUGGCUAAGUGCCUGGGUUCGUCCUAAUCGAGCUGAACACUAGUCACUGGGUUCCAUGGUUCUCUUCCAUGACCCACAACUUCUAAUAGAGCUAUAACAAGCACUGCAUGGCCCAAGAUUCCAUUCCUUGGAAUCCGUGAGGCCAAGAACCCCAGGUCAGAGAACACGAGGCUUGCCACCAUCUUGGAAGUGGCCCACCGCCAUUUUGGAAGUGGCCAACCACCAUCUUGGGAGCUCUGGGAGCAAGGACCCCUGGUAACAUUUUGGCGACCACGAAGGGACAUCCCAAGUGAUCCAUGCAAGGCUGGACUUAAAUGCUUCUGGGCAGAAAUCCGGAACAAUAAGGAGGCUCAUAUUGUCAACUUUUCUACUCUCAUCGUUCCUGUUACACAAUGUCUGAAAGAAAACAUUUCAAACAUUACAUCAAGUUCUUCAUUUGUUUCUUCUCUGCCUUGUGAAGAAGGACUUGCCUGCUUCCCUUUCCACCAUGGUUGUAAGUUUCCCGAGGCCUUCCCAGCCAUGCAGAACUAUCAAACUUUCUAUCCGUGAACUCUUUCUUCUAUGCAAAAUUGAAGCUCUGACCCCACAUUUUUCUUCUGCACUGCCCUAGCAGAGGUUCUCCACAAGGGCCCCCACUGCUGCAGCAAACUUCUGCCUGGGCAUUCAGGCAUUUCCAUACAUCCUCUGAAAUCUAGCUGGAGGUUCCCAAAACUCAAUUCUUGAUUUCUGUGCACCCACAGGCUCAACACCAUGUGGAAGCUACCAAGGUUUGCCCCCACUGAAGCAACAGCUUGGGCUUGGCCCCUUUUAGCCAUGGCUGGAGUGGCUGGGAUGCAGGGCACCAAGUCCCUAGGCUGAAUAGAGUAGAGAGGCCCUGGGCCUGGCCCAUGAAACCAUUUUUUUCCUUCUAGGCCUCUAGGCCUGUGAUGGGAAGGGCUGCUCUGAAAGUCUCUGACAUGCUCUGGAGACAUUUUCCCUAUUAUCUUGGUGAUAACCAUUUGGCUCCUUGUUACUUUUGCAAAUUUCUGCAGCUGACUUGAAUUUCUCCUUAGAAAAUGGGUUUGUCUUUUUUAUUGCAUAAUCAGGCUGCAAAUUUUUCAACUUUUAUGCUCUGUUUCUUUUUUAAAACUGAAUGCUUUUAACAGCACCCACGUCACAUCUUGAAUGCUUUGCUGCUUAGAAAUUAUUUCCACUACAUACCCUAAACCAUCUCCCUCAAGUUCAAAGUUUCAGAAAUGUCUAGGGCAGGGGCGAAAUGCUGCUGGUCUCUUUGCUAAAACAUAGCAAGAGCCACCUUUACUCCAGUUCCCAACAAGUUUCUCAUCUCCAUCUGAGACCACCUUAACCUGGAUUUAAUUGUCCACAUUUUGGUCAAAGCCAUUCAACAAGUCUCUAGGAAGUUCCAAACUUUCCCACAUCUUCCUGUCUUCUUCUAAGCCCUACAAACUGUUCCAACCUCUGCCUAUUACCCAGUUCUAAAGUCACUUCCACAUUUUCAGGUAUCUUUACUGCAGCAUCCCACUCUACUGGUACCAAUUUACUGUAUUAGUCUGUUAUCAUGUUGCUAAUAAAGACAUACCUGAGACUGGGUAAUUUAUAAAAGAAAGAGGUUUAAUGGACUCACAGUUCCAUAUGGCUGGGGAGCCCUCACAAUCAUUGCACAAGGCAUGGAGGAACAAGUCAUGUCUUACAUGGAUGGCAGCAAGCAAAGAGAAGGAGCUUGUUCAGGGGAACUCCUCUUUAUAAAACCAUCAGAUCUCAUGAGACUUACUAUCACAAGAACAGCAUGAGAGAGACCCACCCCAUGAUUCAAUUAUCUCCUACUUGGUCCCUCCCACAACAUGUGAGAAUUGUGGGAGCUACAAUUCAAGAUGAGAUUUGGGUCAGGACACAGCCAAAUCAUAUCAGACACAGAAAGGGACUAUAUAUUUAUUUUGGCUGGAAUGAUUGACUCUGAUGAUUAUAAAGAGAAAGGUUUGCAGAUAUGAAAUGAGGGCAAAGAAGAGUAUGGAUGAAACCUAUCUAAUCUUUAAGACUACUCUUUUUUAUACCAUUCUAGAGGGUAAAGUUUAAUAGAAACUGCUACAUAUUUAUUUGUGUGAUCAUCAAACAACCAGAUUCCUCAGAAAAGAAGAUUUGGUGCAUCAGAGUGGAGACAAAUUACCCUGACUAGGGGAAGGGAUCAUGGAAGACAUUGUGGAAAAGAGGCUGUGGAAAAAUAAAUACCAGUUCUAUCCUUAGGAUUAGUUAUUGAAAGAACUUUACCGAUUUCCUUCUUUACCUAUUCAAAUGUAUUUGCCUAGUUUUAAUGAUUUCUCAAUUUUUUUAUCCCUAAUAUAUAUAUAUGAACAAAUAAGCAAUAGGCUCCCUAUAGUUUUAGAGUAAGAGUUGGCAUUCUGAUGAAACAAGGGGAAGAGUAAACAUCUAUAGGAGAUCCAGAACAUUAAGCAAAAAUAAGUCAUGAAACUGCUUGUUUUCUCUUGAAGAAAGCUUGAAGGAGUUUACAGGUAGACAUGGCAGUUGUAUUUUGUUAGACAGGGAUUAUUUGGAGGAUCCUAUAUUCAUUGGACAAAAGAUCUAUGUAGAUUUGGUGUAACAGGAAUGAUUAGACUGAUUAUUUGUUAAAUUUUGUCUGCCCAGUAUCCAUUUCUCUUUUUUGAAUAAUAGCACCAAAAUUUUUUGGGGAUUGGGGAAAGGUCAUUAUCUCCUAUUGGGUGCAAACUUGGAAGGCAGUUAAUUAAGUUGGCCUGCUCUUUCCUAGCCAAGAGUUGACCACAUUAUCCAAUUAACCAAUUAAGUAAAUUAACACAUCUCUGGAGUUUGUUAUUGUCAGCAGAAUGACAUAAGAAAAUAAAAAUGGCUAAACCUCAUUUAUUCUGCAUGUAAUAUCCUGAUGAGAUGGUUUAUAAGUUCCUGCUACUUCUGUCUUUAAGAACUAUAAUAAUUUCUAAAUUAGAAUUUCUAGACUUCCCUUUGAUUCUGUGAACACUUAUGCUUACAAUAACUUUUUUACUGCUUAACUUAGCCAGCCAGUUUUUAUGGUUUGCAAAAAAAAAACCACAUCUAAUUUGUUAAGCAACAGAUUUUUUUGAACAGUCAUGUCUUUUUAGUAUACUACCUAUGAAGACAUUAUUGACAGCUUCAUGCAUAUUCCAUUUUAUUUUUCUAGAUAUAAAUAUUUUCUUUCCUGAUAUUACAUUGGCAAAGACAUCCUGGAAAUCAGAAUUCAGCUUUAAAUUAUAUUCAAGAUUAUUUACUUAAACAAUUGUUUCUUGAAAUAUUUUUCUUAAAUGAAUAAAGAGGAAAAAUAAAUAAAUAAAUCAUCACCACCUCCUUGUCCGCCAAAAAAAUAGGAAAUUGUGAAAACUUUUUACCCACUAUACAAAGUUGCCUAAUAACUAAAAGCAAGUGUAAAGAUGGACAACUUUACCUUGAGAAAGCCUUCUGUCUAGACUUGGUUUGCCAUUAAACAUAUGUGAAUGUAGGCAACAAACACACCAAUGAAACUGAGACCUCCACUUUGGAUUUCCUUUUACUCAUCUCUAAAAUAAGGAAGUUAAUAUUAGUUAGUCAUUCAAAUAUUUAAAAAAUUCUACAAUAAAUAUUUGAUAUGUUUCCAAUGAUAAAUAGGAAAUAUUUUUAAAGGCAACAUUAAACUCAGCUUUUUGUAAUAGAUAUUUAAUAAAGACAUAACUCUUAAAGAUAUUAACUUGUACAGCAGACAAAUAUUUGAGCAACAAAUAAAAAUUUUUAAGUAAUAUAAUAAGAUAGGAUUUAACAAAAUUAAUGAGAGUGCCAGUGAGAAUCCUCACUAAAAUAACUGGAAAAUAGUCUUCAAAGGCACACAAAAGACAUCUGACAAUUAAAAAUAAUGAUGAACAGGCCGGGCGCGGUGGCUCACGCCUGUAAUCCCAGCA